rnacentral:sRNA from 1 species
ACAGCGUGGCGGCGCAGCCGAGGGAAAGGUCAGCCUGCUCCUGCUUCCCUGGAGCUCUCAGGAGCACCUUCCUGCUGCUGGGUCUCCUUUGGACACUGAAAGUUUUCCAACACCCGUAAGCUGAAUAUGCCCCAGACAUCUGUCUAAUAACCUAUGGAAUCAGUGUGAGUGGCUUUCCCCUGUCCAGUCCUUUUCGGCAGGUCGUUCGGCCCCGAGUGGAGGGCAAACCUGUGAACCCACCCGAGAGCAACAAAGCAGGCGACUACAGCCACGUGAAGACCCUGGAAGCUAUCCUGAAUUUCAAAUACUCUGGAGGCCCGGGCCACACUGAAGGAUAUUACAGGAAUCUCUCCCUGGGGCUGCAUGUAGAAGUUGAGCCAUCUGUAUUUUUCACCCGAGUCAGCACCCUCCCAGCAACCAGUACCCGGCAGUGUCACCUGCUCCUGGAUGUCUUCAACUCCACCGAGCAUGAGCUGACGGUCAGCACCAGGAGCAGCGAGGCGCUCAUCCUGCACGCC